rnacentral:rRNA from 1 species
ACUAGAAUGAACGGCUAAAUGAAGACUCAACUGUCUCUUGCAGCCCACCAAUGAAACUGAUCUCUUAGUCCAAAAGCUAAGAUUUAUCCACAAGACGAGAAGACCCUGUGGAGCUUAUAAACUAAGCCCACGAAAAUGGCCCCUUAGUUUUCAGUUGGGGCGACUUCGGAGCACAAAAAACCCUCCGACAAAGUAACUUAACUAAGAUGGACACAUCAAAAAUUACCCUAGACCCAGCAGCCUACAGGCUGCCUGAUCAAGGAACCAAGUUACCCCAGGGAUAACAGCGCCAUCCUCUCUUAGAGUCCCUAUCGACGAGAGGGCUUACGACCUCGAUGUUGGAUCAGGACAACCAAAUAGUGCAACCGCUAUUGAUG